AUGCUCUUUGCGGAUGAUGUGGUGCUAGUUGACGAUAGUCGGACAGGGGUAAAUAGGAAGUUAGAGUUAUGGAGACAACCCUUGGAAUCGAAAGGGUUUAGGCUUAGUAGAACUAAAACCGAGUACAUGAUGUGCGGUUUCAGUACUACUAGGUGUGAGGAGGAGGAGGUUAGCCUUGAUGGCCAGGUUGUACCUCGGAAGGACACCUUUCGGUAUUUGGGGUCAAUGUUGCAGGAGGAUGCGGGUAUUGAUGAAUAUGUGAACCAUCGAAUCAAAGCCGGAUGGAUGAAGUGGCCCCAAGCUUCUGGCAUUCUCUGUGACAAGAGAGUGCCACAAAAGCUAAAAGGCAAGUUCUAUAGGAUGGCGGUUUGA
rnacentral:rRNA from 1 species